ACGAGCCCACCCAGCAAGGCUGGUUCUCCUCCACCCUUGUUAAAGCUCCUCACAAGGAGCAAGAAUCUUGCCAUUUCAGUGCUUUGGGAUGAGGACUCCAAGUAACACAGCUUCUCUUCCUACUUCUGCCUGCUCCAAACAACAGAGACCCAGUCAUCAAAGAGCCUGAUGCACUAAUUCCCUCACUGCCCUCCAUCCACUUGGAGAACUCAGCCACAGGCAGUCUUCAACCCCAAACAUCGUGGGGACAGGAGAGGGCCAGACUUUGCAGCUCCUCUUGGCAUCCCACUGGUAGUCUCUGGGAAGGAGACUGCAGGUGCAGUUCAUGUCCCCAUUCUGAUUUGAGGUAGAGACGGGGACAGAGGCAGCUCUUCAGUGCCGCAGCCACAGCUUUACAAGGUGAGGACACACAUCCUGCUGUGUAAAUGGAAAGGCAGAACAGACUUAUUUUCUGACAAAACAUUCUUCGAAGACAUCUGAAAUGAAGCUGACAGCUCCCGAUACAAUUAUAAUGAAGACUUCUGCCUUUAACUCAUGACGCUUCAUCAAUUAUUCCCCAGCCUUUUGGCAGCAGACUACCAGGCAGUACAUUUUUCAUCUACUAAAACCCACAAGUCCAGCAUUCAGACAUUCUCAGACAGUUGAAAAACUUCAUACUUCGGAUGGAAAUUGCAGAAAAUCACUAUGUCAGCAAGUGGCACAAAUCAAACCUUUCCUUUGGUGCUUCAGAGGAUUUGCUUUUUUCUUGCAGGAAUGAAAAAUAGUGGCUGGGAUCUUGUGGUUAUGACCAAAUCAAUCAGUGCUACAUAGAUCUCUGGCAAGCACCCGAAGAGAGGAAACAGGAACACUCAACAGAACCAAAUCUCUGGUCAGCAUGACCUGCUUAGUUACUCAUGCUUGCAAUGGUCACAUUGAAGAAAUCCUCACAAAACCCCUGCAGCUGACUGAAAUGUCAGCAAUUUAGACUAGACAUACAAUUCCUGCAACACUUAAGCUGCUUUUUGCCUAGCAUCACCAAGUAACAAAGCUAGGAACUGUGUAUUGCUAACAAUAAAUCCUCAUUUUCUUAUCAGAAAGAAACUAGGAUUCCAUUUCAAAAAAAUCCAAACACAAAACUGUAAAUGAAAAAUAGGUUGCAUCACUUGGCACAAAAAAUUGCAUUCCUAAAAGCAGUACAACCAGCUCAUCACUGAAAAAGUUAAAUAAAACCUGCUCGGCAAUGUUAUCCGUGACUUACACUGGAAGUUAGUAACCACAGGAAACAGAGAAUUUGACUGCAAGUAGACAAGUUAAUAAUCUCAUAAAAAAAUUGAGUAUAAGGAAAGUCACAGUAAAAAAAGGCAGCAUGUACAAAGUCACAGUGAAAGAAGGCACUUCAUAGCAAUCAUGCACAGAAACAGCUGAAAGCAGCACCUAUCCAAUAGAGCACAGCUACAUGUUGAAACAUUAAACCUGUAAGCAACUUACAAGAUCAUUUUAGUUUCAAUUUACUUAACAUUUUAGCAGCAAGCAUUUGAUUUAAAAUAAUAAUAAAAAGAACAGCUCAGUUACUAAAGUUUAAUAUAUUAUAUUAUUUAGAAUAUUAAAAUACCUACACAUAAAUUUCUCUUUUCUUCCUAUCCCAAGAUUCUUCCUUAUCUAGGAAGUUCUAAAACCCUCAUACUGGCACAGCUUGUCUUGAGAUGUGGAGAAGCUACUGAAAAUGGCACAGCAAAUUGCCCAGUCUGUCAAAGCAAGCAACACAAGCUCUCAAUUCAUUACAACUAUGGAAUCAAACAGACCUCUUCACUUUUUGUCCCUCUCUACAGCAUUCACUAUUUUCACUGUGCUACAAAUUUACCAAUGGAUUUGAUAACUAAAGAGUUGCUUAGCUUUGUGAAGUGAUGAAGGGAUCAUUAGUUAUAUUGAAAUUGACAUCACCUUGAAGAUAAUCCACUGUUCUCAAAAGGUUCACUUGACUCCAAGAUCUUAGCUUCUAAAUCUCAAAGCGCAAGUAGAUAACAUGGUGAACAUUUUAAACAACUUUCUCCCAGACAAUUUUCAUGUUUGAGUAGGACUGUCAUACAGUUUUACACUAGAAAUUCUGAGAAAGCAGUCUUCAGCUCAACUUAUACCCUCCAGUUUAUACCCUUCAACUUCAAUCCUCCAAAGGAUUUUCCAGAUUUUUCUGUUUUGUCCUAGUCAAACCACCAUUAUGAGUUGCCUUCUUUCAGAGAUCAGCAGCUAAGAGACUAAAGUAGAACAAGUUUUUACAUAGUUUAGGUUUGCAUUUGAUUUUUGUCAGUCCAAGUCCUUUAGAACAUAUUUCAUGUACAGCAGAACCUGCAAGUCUAUGAAAUUCUUAAAACUGGGCAAUAAAUACAGUCAUGCAAAGACAUUUAUAUUCAAGUUAUGUUUAGUGCAUUAAUGCUGUAGUCAAUGUUACAUAACAUAAGAAUAUUACAACUACACAUUAUGGGUUUCCCAGCAUUGGAUGUUGACUUGUUUAGCAACCAGAAAUAUUCUGUUUUCUUGGAUGUUCCUUAGACUUACAUCAGUUUUCUGAUGAAAUAUGAUGGUUUAGCCCUGGCUGGGUGCCAGAUGCCCACCAAGUCAUUCUAUCACUCUCCCUCCUAAAAUGGACAGGGGAGACAGAAACAUAACAAAAGGUUUCAUGAGUUGAGAUAAGGGCAGGGAGAUUACUCAGUAAUUAGCAUCACAGGCAAAACAGAUUCAACUUCAAGAGAAAAAGUUUAAUUUAUUAAUGAACAAUCAAAAUAGAGCAUGGAAAAUGAGAAAAACAAAUCUUAAAACACCUCCUCCCACCCGUCCCUCUUCCCACGACUCUCCCCUCAUCCUCCUCAUCUGGGAUGGGGUUACGGUCAGUUCAUUACAGAUGGACUUUGCCACUGCUUCUUCUCAGGAGAAGGCCUCCUCACACUUCCCACUGCUACAGUGUGGGGUCCCUCCCACAGGAGUCAGUCCUCCAUGAACUUCUCCAACAAGGGUACAUCCCACAGAGUCAUAGACUCCUUCCGGAAUCCACACGCUCCAGUGUGGGGUCCUCCUCGGGCUGCAAGUGGAUCUCUACUCCCCCAUGGUCCUCCAUGGCUAUAGGCGCACAGCAGACUCAUCAUGGGCUGCACUCACAGGUCAUAGGGGAAUCUCUCUUACAGUGCCUGGGCAUCUCCUCCUUAUCCUUCUCCAGUGACCUUGGUGUCUGCAGAGAUGUUUUCACAUUCUCACUCCUUGUUACUGCUGCAGUUUUGCAACUGUGCAACAACUUCUUCUCCUUCUCAAAUAUGUUAUUCACAGAGGUGUUACCUCCAUCACUAAUUGGCCAGGCCUGGGUCAGGUGCUGGGUCCAUCUUAGAACUGACUGGCCCUAACCCUAUAAGCUACAGGGGAAGCUUCUGGCAGCUCUUUGUUUAAAGAAACCAUCCCUGUGGCCCUCACUAUCAAAACCUGUUCCAGGCAAAACUACUACAUGAAAUUAUGCCUGUAUUUUCUUGAACAAAGAUACCUGUAGCAGAAGUGUUGGAAACCUGUUAAAAGCAUGCAAAUGUCAUCAAGUGUUUGAUCCUUUUAUGUUUUUCACACUUCUACAGAACACUGCUUGGGUAUAUGAGCUUUCUUCCCCUGUACUCUGACCACUAAUCACUUUACGAGGAACCACCUCUAAAACUUAAUGCUUCUGACAAUUCAAACAAGAACUCUUGCAUGAAAAAAAAUAGCUGUGACCUGUAAAUAUCCUUUUUAUUCAGUAACAUUUAAAACUGACACUUAAACUCAUGCUUAAAAAGACUUGAGCACUAAAGCAGUAUUUUUUUAAGAGCAAGCACAAUAAUUUUGGUAUGUAGUCACCAAAGGGUAUGAGUACUGCAGUUAUUUCUACAUAAUCCACAGUUCCUGGGAUUAUAAGAAAAACAAUAAGUAAAUGUAUCAACUGAUUUGGAGAUUAAGGAAAUUAUAGUGUGUAAAUAUAAAGUACUGUAGACAUCUCAUUCCUUUGGGAGGAUGCCAUUGUCCCAGAACACUCUCUUCCUUCUCCAGUCUCUCUGCUAUUCCUAAAAUAAACAGUAUAUGAGAGAGAAGUUCUGAACAGCUGCAAUUCAAAUAUAAUUUCUAUGUCCUGUACAUCCUUCUAUUAAAAAUAAAUAAAUGAAAAAAACAUUUAAAUAUAGUCUCCUUUCCCUC